AUCUAAGCGGGAAACCAGCCACAAGAUAAGUUCUCCCUUGUCGCAAGACACUGAAGAUCCCAGGCAGACCACCUGGUAGAUAGGCCGGAAGUGUAAGCGCAGUAAUGUGUUCAGCUGACCGGUACUAAUAGAUCGUGAGUCUUAACUCU
rnacentral:rRNA from 1 species